AACGAACGCUGGCGGCAUGCCUAACACAUGCAAGUCGAACGAGACCUUCGGGUCUACUGGCGCAUGGGUCCGUAACGCGUUGGAUCCUGCCCUUAGGUUCGGCAUAACUCCCCGAAUGGGGUGCUAAUACCGGCUAUUGUCUUCGGUCCAAAGAUUUAUCGCCUUUGGAUGGUCCCGCGUUGUAUUAGUUUGUUGGUAGGGUAAAAGCGUACCACUGCGACGAUCCAUAGCUGGUUUGAGAGGAUGAUCAGCCACACUGGGACUGAGACACGGCCCAGACUCCUGCGGGAGGCAGCAGAGGGGAAUAUUGGACAAUGGGCGAAAGCAUGAUCCAGCAAUGCCGCGUGAGUGAUGAAGGCCUUGGGGUUGUAAAGCUCUUUUACCCGGGAUGAUAAUGACAGUACCGGGAGAAUAAGCACCGGCUAACUCCGUG
rnacentral:rRNA from 1 species